rnacentral:pre_miRNA from 1 species
CCCCCAUCCAUGUAUGUAGAACCCCAAAGGAUCACCAUUAAAGUUGGCACGGAUCUCUAAAAAAAUUAUCACAUGGGUGUGAGACUUGACUUUUCUAGAUAUCCAUACCAAUUUUAAUGGUAAUCAUUUGGGGUUCUACACACAUGGGUGGGAG